rnacentral:rRNA from 1 species
AGCAGCCGCGGUAAUUCCAGCUCCAAUAGCGUAUAUUAAAGUUGUUGCAGUUAAAAAGCUCGUAGUUGAAUUUCGGGGUUAGUAGGUUGGUCAUGCCUCUGGUAUGUACUGGUCUCACUGAUUCCUCCUUCCUGAUGAGCCGUAAUGCCAUUAAUUUGGUGUUGCGGGGAAUUUGGACUGUUACUUUGAAAAAAUUAGAGUGUUUAAAGCAGGCAUUUUGCUUGAAUACAUUAGCAUGGAAUAAUAAAAUAGGACGGCAUGGUUCUAUUUUGUUGGUUUCUAGGACCACCGUAAUGAUUAAUAGGGAUAGUUGGGGCAUUAGUAUUCAAUUGUCAGAGGUGAAAUUCUUGGAUUUAUUGAAGACUAACUACUGCGAAAGCAUUUGCCAAGGAUGUUUUCAUUAAUCAAGAACGAAAGUUAGGGGAUCGAAGACGAUCAGAUACCGUCGUAGUCUUAACCGAUAAACUU